AUGUCAAACCCUAAUAGCCCCUUUCUCCUUUUCCUCACCUUUCUCUUUCACCCCGUGCCGUUCCUCUCCCUCUCAUUCUUCCCCUAAUGCAUAGAACCCGCCUCCGCGAUAGCUCUCUCUCUCUCUCUCUCUACACAAUGGGUUUUCUGUUGUCACUCUCUGUCAUCCAUUGUUUGUGCCAUGCCAUCCUAUCUAAGGCUGCCCAUAAGUCUCUGUCUCAGUCUCUCUCUCUCUCUCUCUCUUUCUUUAUUUCUCUCUCCCCCAAGUCUUUCGAUAUCUAACCCAGUGACAUCAUGUCAUCACUCUCUAUCCUAGUUUCUGCUUUCACUUGUUGUUGCAUAGCAGGACGGUGUCCAUGCCUAUUGAUGACCCUGUGCUAUAGUUCCCGUGAUGAGCAACUCUGCUUUGUCUAGCCUCGCCUAUUGUCUUUGGCACCUUUGGUUGCUUUGGACGAGGCAGAUCAACAAUCUCACUUUUAAGCAUGGAAAUUGCAAUAGAUACAGUUGGCCUAUCUUUAGCAAAAUCUUGAACACACAAUAGCCCAACAUGUAUGCAUCUCAAGAUCUCCAUUUCAUUGCAUGGCUCAGAUAUCACGGGGUCUACCAAGGCCGCAAUUUUGUUGGCGUUCCACAUUUUCCAUACCUAGAAACAUGAAAACAUGAUUGAAAUUUGUUUGAUAAUGUGGAGAGAACAAAAUACCUUUGGAGUGAUCUUCAACCGAGGUCGUGAUAUAUUGUGUUUUCAAUACCACUUAAUUAAAUAUUUUGGGCUCAAAUUCUCACA